rnacentral:ncRNA from 2 species
AUGGCAGACUGGGGGAGCCGGUGAAAGUCGGCUGAGAGGAGGCUUAGUUUGUGCCUCGACUCCUGGAACCUGAUCCAGUUAAUUCUGGCGAAGGAAAGUCCUUUUUUUAUUUU